GUGCUUUAUUUGUCACUAUUCAUUGGCUUGAUAAACUUUUCAGGUGGCUGCUGCGCCCGUGGCGGAGGGCGUGUAUGCUGCGGGAGGCAGAUCCGGAUGGAGCUACUGAUGUGGGGGGAGGGAGGGCCUCCCGCCGUCCAUGCUCCUGAGGCCGGGGACGCGGAGCCGGCCAUGCUCCUGAGCGCCCCGGAGGUGCGGCGCCGGCCCGUCGAGCUGCUGCCGGCGUGGGCGUGGGCGCGGCGUCGGCUCGCGGGGCUGCUGCGGGCCGCAGGAAGACCUCGGCCGGCCUUGCAAAUGUGGGCACGGCCGCGCCUUCCGCCGGCCAUGCUGGUGCUGGCGGGGGCCGCCCGUCCUCUGCCCCACGCUGCCCGUGCCGCUGCUCGACCGCCUCCCUGUCGUUGCUCUUCCACUCCCAUGGUAGCGGAGGCAAGGAGGGAAUUUUGCGGGCGGCACAAGUUGAUUCGACUGCGCUGGAGUUCAUUCGCAUCCAGCAGGAAGUGAACCUGCAAAUUUACCAAUUAUGAGUUGGGCGCUUUAACCAUUCAGUCGCCGAUCUCAUUUGUAUGAACGAGGGCUACCCAUGCUACCCAUCCUCUGCUUCACCUCCCGGACAGGAGGCGAUACGGCCGGAGAUGUUUCUCAGCCGGGGUGGAGCUUGGUGGCACCACCACGCUCGCGAGCCGCGGCUGCGUUGCUCGCGGCUCUCGCCUGCACGCGGCGGCGGAGCUCGCGGCGGGCUGCAGCAGAAGCUUCUCCAGGAGUAGCAAACGGUGGAGACACCGCCAUGGCGCGUCCUCGUCACUCAAUUGUUCUUGCUUCUUGCUUGUGGAUGCUGCGGCGGUGGAUGCCACAUUCUUUUCCCGCGGUCCGCGGAUAAGGUAGGAGCGGACCGAAGCUGUGCCUAAAUCGAGCUCAUCAUCAAACAUGAGAGCAGGCAAGAGGAUGGGGUUUGGGCAUUGGCGGCUCUGACGCACCUCUGAUUUUUUUUUCCGAGGCAACUCCUCUGAAUUGAAGUAGCAUCUGGGACGGGGAAUCCAUCUUCUCCUAUUCGUUUUCUUUCUACUUUUUUUUUGUCACAAUUUGGAUGUAUGUGUGAACUAUAAUGUGUGAACCUUGUCUAUUUGGGAUCCUAAUGUAUUUUUCUUUUUGAACGCAA